rnacentral:rRNA from 1 species
GACGAACGCUGGCGGCGUGCUUAACACAUGCAAGUCGAACGGAAAGGCCCUGCUUUUGUGGGGUGCUCGAGUGGCGAACGGGUGAGUAACACGUGAGUAACCUGCCCUUGACUUUGGGAUAACUUCAGGAAACUGGGGCUAAUACCGGAUAGGAGCUCCUGCUGCAUGGUGGGGGUUGGAAAGUUUCGGCGGUUGGGGAUGGACUCGCGGCUUAUCAGCUUGUUGGUGGGGUAGUGGCUUACCAAGGCUUUGGCGGGUAGCCGGCCUGGGAGGGUGACCGGCCACAUGGGGACUGAGAUACGGCCCAGACUCCUACGGGAGGCAGCAGUGGGGAAUAUUGCACAAUGGGCGGAAGCCGGAUGCAGCAACGCCGCGUGCGGGAUGACGGCCUUCGGGUGGUAAACCGCUUUCGCCUGUGACGAAGCGUGAGUGACGGUAAUGGGGAAAGAAGCACCGGCUAACUACGU